CACACGCGGGCGAAGGAGUUUAGCUCUCCUUGCCGGUGCCAAAUUUAUUUGGUCACUGCCCGCGGCGGACUAACCGGACUAAGGAUGCCU
rnacentral:sRNA from 1 species